GGAAAGGUGGCAGAGUGGUCGAAUGCACCGGUUUUGAAAACCGGCGACCCGGCAACGGGUCCGUGAGUUCGAAUCUCACCCUUUCCGCCA
rnacentral:tRNA from 1 species